rnacentral:tRNA from 1 species
CAGGGAGACAACAAAAUGUUAAAUAUUAAUUUUGUCACCUUAGGUCGAUCGGUACCUCACAUUCUUAUAUUUAUAUAAGAAUUUAAUUUCCUAAGUUUUUUCUAGGUCACACCCAUUAUUUUUCCUGGGCCAUUAGCUCAGGUGGUUAGAGCGCACCCCUGAUAAGGGUGAGGUCCCUGGUUCAAGUCCAGGAUGGCCCAUAUCUCUAUGUUGGGGGUAUAGCUCAGUUGGUAGAGCGCCUGCUUUGCAAGCAGGAUGUCAGCGGUUCGAGUCCGCUUACCUCCACUGAUUACCACCUCUUCCAUAAUUUAUAGAAGGGAAAUUUUUUGUGUUGUGAUCAAAUUCUGAACGAAUCUAGCUUCCUAAUAAUCCUAUUAAGAUGCUGGACUCAUUGAAUUAAUUUUCAUUGUUUUCAGAGAACCUUGACAACUGCAUAGAUUAUUUUUAAAGACAAUAAGCAUCUUUAAUGAUGCAGAUUUAUUAUUUGUGCGAAUGCAUUAAAUAACAAUUCUAUUAAGCUGAUGCUUCAAAUUUUUGAAGUUAUU